GCGGAUGUAGCUCAGUUGGCUAGAGCGCAACCUUGCCAAGGUUGAGGUCGCCGGUUCGAAUCCGGUCAUCCGCUCCA
rnacentral:tRNA from 7 species